rnacentral:misc_RNA from 1 species
CGAACGCCUCUCUUUCUUUACAUUCCCUCUCACAGGGGAGACAUCAAAUGACUGCGUGGCUGCUAACUGACGCCAACCAUGGAAAUUGUCUAAACAGGUUCAGUUUUCCUCUUAUCUUUCCCCCACUGCGUUUAUUUCCGUCUCUCUAGCAGUCUCGCUCCCUCAAGCUCGUGCACUUAUUGUUGCUGGUGGUGCUUCUGUCGCUAUCCACUCGCCGCCGCAUGCGCAGCUGUUGCUUUGUCCUCUCUAGCAGGUCCUGAGUUCGAAUGCGUCCGGAGAGGAUGAGGUAUUAAGUGUAGUAGAUUCUGUCUCGUUUUAGAGUUUCAGGUCCAUCACUCAAGGUGUUUCCCUCUAUUCCGUAUAGAUUUUGGGAUCUUUAUUGGCUUUUAUUGUGUUGUAAUUUACUGGUUUGUGCAAAUAGAAUUAUAAUUGGGUUUGAUAAGCGACGGAUUAGGAUAAAUUUUGGGUUACACUACCUGUUGCUAUCCCUAAAAAAUAUAGUAAUUGUGAAGAAAUGAGUUUUCGAAAUCUAGAAACUUGGAGUGACCUUGGAACUUCCAUGAGCAGUUCAUUUGCGAUUCCUAGGACCGAGUCGACUCACCAUCGCCUCUAUGAGUUUGCCAAAUUGGCACUUAUCAAGAUAUUUGUCCAUCCCUACGCCACUGUGUGCGAUUUGUAUUGUGGAGGAGGAGGAGUGGACGCAGAGAAAUGGGAUGGUGCUCAAAUUGGCCAUUAUAUUGGAAUUGAUGUAUCAUCAUCUGGAGUAAGUGAGAUGAGGGAAGCAUGGGAAAGUCAGAGGAAAAUUUACACUGCUGAGUUCUUUGAGGCUGAUCCUUGCACAGAAAAUUUUGGAGUGCAGCUACAGGAGAAGGCCAACCAGGCUGAUUUAGUAUGCUGCUUACAGAAUUUGCAGUUGUGUUUUGAAAAUGAGGAAAAUGCAAGGAAACUUCUACAUAAUGUGUCAUCUUUGCUUAAACCAGGGGGUUAUUUUUUCGGUAUUACUCCUGACUCAUCUACCAUAUGGGCAAAGUACCAGAAGAAUGUUGAAGCAUACCACAACAGAAGUGGCAGCAUGAAGCCAAAUAUAGUUCCCAAUUGUAUUCGGUCAGAGAGCUAUAUGAUAACCUUCGAAGUUGAGGAAGAGAAGUUUCCAUUAUUUGGAAAGAAAUACCAGUUAAAAUUUGCGCAUGACCCUGCUGAAACUCAUUGCUUGGUUCAUUUUCCUAGCUUGAUCAGGUUGGCCCGGGAAGCUGGUUUGGAGUAUGUGGAGAUUCAAAAUUUGACAGAGUUCUAUGAUGAUAACAGGUAUUUGAUUGCAUCUCCUAACUGUACAGUAUGCACUUAUAUCCAAGCGAACUUUUUGUUUACUUAUUGGUAUUGGAGAUUAGCUACGCUGAUUUCUCUUCUUCAUUUGCUCAAAGAAUGCAUUUUGCAAGCAUGCUAUUGAAUGCUGGUCCAAACCUAGUGGAUCCGAGGGGAAGACUUCUUCCUCGGUCAUUUGACGUGCUAGGUCUAUAUACAACAUUUAUAUUUCAGAAGCCAGACCCAGAUGUUGCCCCACCUCUUGCAACCCCACUAUUGCAGGACGAUAGUUUCAAUCAUGAUGAGAGAGAGUGGCAGGCAACUGUAUGGAGAGACGAUGAAAAGACUACAGAG